GAUAAGCUUCAUAGUCAAGAGGGAAACAGCCCAGAUCACCAGUUAAGGCCCCUAAAUAAUUAUUAAGUGGUAAAGGAGGUGGGAAGACUCAGACAGCCAGGAGGUUUGCUUAGAAGCAGCAAUCCUUUAAAGAGUGCGUAAUAGCUCACUGGUCUAGUAAUCCUGCGCCGAAAAUGAACGGGACUUAAAUAAUUUGCCGAAGCUGUGAGAUAUUUAUUACAAGUAAAUAUCGGUAGGGGAGCGUUCUGUUGUAGGUUGAAGCAUUAACGUAAGUGGGUGUGGACGAAGCAGAAGUGAGAAUGUCGGCUUGAGUAGCGAAAACAUUGGUGAGAAUCCAAUGCCCCGAAAACCUAAGGUUUCCCCCGGAAGGCUCGUCCGCGGGGGGUGAGUCAGGACCUAAGGCGAGGUCGAAAGACGUAGUCGAUGGACAAUAGGUUAAUAUUCCUAUACCGUUUUUUAUUGGCAACGAGGGACGAAGAAGGCUAAACUUAUCCAGAUAGUGGUCACUGGUCCAAGCAUUCAAGGUUAUGAGAAAUAGUGAAAAUAUUUUGAGCUGAGAUGUGAUGGGGAGAUACUUAGUAUUGAAGUAGUUGAUGUCAUGCUUCCAAGAAAAGCUUGCACUGUCAUAAAUAGAAAACGCCUGUACCCUAAACCGACACAGGUAGGUAGGUAGAGUAUACUAAGGGGCGCGAGAUAACUCUCUCUAAGGAACUCGGCAAAAUAACCCCGUAACUUUGGGAGAAGGGGUACCCUAUGGGUUGCAAUAACAAGGUCCAAGCGACUGUUUAUCAAAAACACAGGUCUCCGCGAAGUCGAAAGACAAUGUAUGGGGGCUG
rnacentral:rRNA from 1 species